rnacentral:lncRNA from 1 species
UGUCUUUCGAUUUAGUCACUUACUUGGUGGUUUUGGUUUUGGCCAGAAUAUGAUGCGAUUCGGUAUUUGGAUAGUUUAUGUGUAGCUCAUGGUAUAGUCAGGACUAUUCUAAGUUAUGCAAUAGAUCGCAGGUGCUCUACACGAAGACUCGGUCCUCCGUUUCUGUAGCCGGGGAAGGAGAUGAAAUUUAAGGUACAUUAGUUCACUUGUAUUUCAAAAGAUUAGAGAGUAAAACAAAGGGCGUGUUAUGGACUAUGGACACCUCUACAGAGAUGUUAUAAAGGGUUCGAAAUCGAUUUGCAUUUCAGGAAGGUGACGCAGCUUUAUAAACAUACCAGAAGGGAAUUCCCCUGUUUCGCUUAGAUCAGCUGUUCACAACGACAGAUUUGGAGUAGUGUAAAUGUGUAACCUGGUCAUCGAGUUUAGCCUUGUGUGACGACUCGGGUCCAGCAAACACCUUGAGGAGUGGAA